CAAUGUCUGAGAUCCUCAUCCUUCAUCUAGACUGAAGUCAGAUAGCCUGCAAAGCCUUAUCAGCGGCUAAGACCACCACGAGAUACAUGCGGGCUCCCACUAUUUUAUAUCUUUGAAGGAAUGUCUCCGGUGUAGGAGGUGAGAUAUACACACAAAGACACACACACUGUUGGCAGUGCAUCCGGUGGGUGCCAGGUACUAGCCGGGGUUUAUCAUGCUGCUUGGACAUAUGGUUUCUGCGGCAAAUCUGAUUAAUAUGGGAUAGCCAGGAGUCCAGCGUACAGCAGAGGACAGACUGCACCAGGACAUCCCCACUGGUCCGGCCUCCCCCUCACAACACACCAGGCCUCCAUCCAGCACGGCUAAAAACAGACCGGUCGUCAGGGACUCAGAUGGUCCAAGCGGUGGGAGACCAAUGCUGCACAGAUUUAGAAGGUAUUUGGUCAUAUUCAAAGGAUUGAACCCAACACCUGAGGAUCGGGCUGGAUGGCAAGUUAAGGGAUGACCAAAG